rnacentral:rRNA from 1 species
AUACGUAGGGGGCGAGCGUUGUCCGGAAUGAUUGGGCGUAAAGGGCGCGUAGGCGGCGCGGUAAGUCUGGAGUGAAAGUCCUGCUUUCAAGGUGGGAAUUGCUUUGGAUACUGCCGCGCUUGAGUGCAGGAGAGGUUAUCGGAAUUCCCGGUGUAGCGGUGAAAUGCGUAGAGAUCGGGAGGAACACCAGUGGCGAAGGCGGGUAACUGGACUGCAACUGACGCUGAGGCGCGAAAGUGUGGGGAGCAAACAGGAUUAGAUACCCUGGUAGUCCACGCCCUAAACGAUGAAUACUAGGUGUGGGGGGACUGACCCCUUCCGUGCCGGAGUAAACACAAUAAGUAUUCCACCUGGGGAGUACGACCGCAAGGUUGAAACUCAAAUGAAUUGACGGGG